ACCAGUGUGGCAUAGUGGUUUGAGUGUUGGACUGUGACGCCGGAGACCAGGGUUCGAUUUCCAGCUCGGCCA